rnacentral:rRNA from 1 species
AGCGAACGCUGGCGGCAGGCCUAACACAUGCAAGUCGAACGAACCUUUCGGGGUUAGUGGCGGACGGGUGAGUAACACGUGGGAACGUGCCUUUAGGUUCGGAAUAACUCAGGGAAACUUGUGCUAAUACCGAAUGUGCCCUUCGGGGGAAAGAUUAAUCGCCUUUAGAGCGGCCCGCGUCUGAUUAGCUAGUUGGUUGAGGUAAUGGCUCACCAAGGCGACGAUCAGUAGCUGGUCUGAGAGGAUGAUCAGCCACAUUGGGACUGAGACACGGCCCAAAAUCCUACGGGAAGGAGGAGUGGGGAAUCUUGCGGAAUGGGCGGAAGCCUUACGCAGCCAUGCCGCGUGAAUGAUGAAGGUCUUAGGAUUGUAAAAUUCUUUCACCGGGGACGAUAAUGACGGUACCCGGAGAAGAAGCCCCGGCUAACUUCGUG